AUUGAACGCUGGCGGCAGGCCUAACACAUGCAAGUCGAGCGCGAAAGUUCUUCGGAAUGAGUAAAGCGGCGGACGGGUGAGUAAUACAUGGGAAUCUGCCUGGUAGUGGGGGACAACGUUUCGAAAGGAACGCUAAUACCGGCAUACGCCCUACGGGGAAAGGGGGGGAUCUUCGGACCUCUCGCUAUCAGAUGAGCCCA
rnacentral:rRNA from 1 species